rnacentral:lncRNA from 1 species
GUCCCACCCCUUUCUGUGCUCUCCGAUACCGAUACCCACGCUGGGAAAGACUGGGGGCUCACGGAGAAGCUGGCGAGGAGGAGGAGAUGGUUGGAUGGCAUCCCAGACUGGUACACAGACUCAGUGUGUGCACUGUACAACCUCUGUGUGUACAGGUUGGGUGUACACACAGAGAAGUACAUUUGAGUUCUGUUUGCCUGCUUCUUGCUUUCAUCCUGUCCUCCUCUGGGAUGGAAGAACGCUAAAACUUCCUCUGCAGAGCCUGCGGCCAAGACCAGCAGGGCGGCUCCUUCUGUGCGCUCAGCCGCUCCUGGGAGGAUACGCAUUCUCCUGGUUAAGAAGACAGUGGUUGAAGGCAGGAGGCAUCUUGGUGAUGACAGCCCUCACGUGUCCGUCCCUCUGGUCACACUGCGUUCAGGGCAGCGUGGAGGCUGCAGGAGUAUCCUGCGGCCCGUCACAGGAGGCCAGUCAAAGCCCAGCAGUAUCCUGCGGCCCGUCACAGGAGGUCAGUCAAAGCCCUCUGCGGUUGGGGAGGAUCUGCUCAUUUGCUCAUCAGAUGGUAAAGCUUCUUGUAGAUGCUGCCUCUAGCUUUUAAAUUAAAUCAUCUGUGCCUUUCUUUUUUUAAAGUGGAUUUAUUUUUAAUGGGGG